rnacentral:rRNA from 1 species
AGCGGCGAACGGGUGAGUAACACGUAGGUGAUCUGCCCAUAAGACGGGGACAACGAUUGGAAACGAUCGCUAAUACCGGAUAGGACGAAAGUUUAAAGGUGCUUCUGGCACCGCUGAUGGAUGAGCCUGCGGCGCAUUAGCUAGUUGGUAGGGUAAAGGCCUACCAAGGCGACGAUGCGUAGCCGACCUGAGAGGGUGAACGGCCACACUGGGACUGAGACACGGCCCAGACUCCUACGGGAGGCAGCAGUAGGGAAUCUUCGGCAAUGGGCGAAAGCCUGACCGAGCAACGCCGCGUGAAUGAUGAAGGCCUUCGGGUUGUAAAAUUCUGUUAUAAGGGAAGAACGACUUUAGUAGGAAAUGGCUAGAGUGUGACGGUACCUUAUGAGAAAGCCACGGCUAACUACGUGCCAGCAGCCGCGGUAAUACGUAGGUGGCGAGCGUUAUCCGGAAUUAUUGGGCGUAAAGAGCGCGCAGGUGGUUGAUUAAGUCUGAUGUGAAAGCCCACGGCUUAACCGUGGAGGGUCAUUGGAAACUGGUCGACUUGAGUGCAGAAGAGGGAAGUGGAAUUCCAUGUGUAGCGGUGAAAUGCGUAGAGAUAUGGGGGAACACCAGUGGCGUAGGUGGCUUCCUGGUCUGUAACUGACACUGAGGCGCGAAAGCGUGGGGAGCAAACAGGAUUAGAUACCCUGGUAGUACACGCCGUAAACGAUGAGUGCUAAGUGU